GAUGAACGCUAGCGGCAGGCCUAAUACAUGCAAGUCGAACGCGAUUGCGGUGCUUGCACCGCAUGAAAGUGGCGUACGGGUGCGUAACGCGUGAGCAACCCUACCGUUGUCUGGGGGAUAGCCCGGAGAAAUCCGGAUUAAUACCGCAUAAUAUUAAGGAGCAGCAUUGCUUUUUGAUCAAACAUUUAUGGGACAGCGAUGGGCUCGCGUGACAUUAGCUAGUUGGAGUGGUAACGGCACACCAAGGCGACGAUGUCUAGGGGAUCUGAGGGGAUGACCCCCCACACUGGGACUGAGACACGGCCCAGACUCCUACGGGAGGCAGCAGUAAGGAAUAUUGGUCAAUGGAGGCAACUCUGAACCAGCCAUGCCGCGUGCAGGAAGAAUGCCCUCUGGGUUGUAAACUGCUUUUAUCAGGGAAUAAACCCUUNUACGUGUAGGAGGCUGAAUGUACCUGAGGAAUAAGGAUCGGCUAACUCCGUGCC
rnacentral:rRNA from 1 species